AUCAUUCUAAAAUGUAAAUAUAAUUGGUGUAUUAUCCAUUGUUUAUUUGUAUACAUAAAAGAUACAUUUAGUUGUACAACCAUGAAAGUAUUACCCAAAAUGCAUUCUGAACCGUUACAGUACCCAGAAAUCAUCCUGAAUUAAUAGAAACCAAUUAUGUUAUGAUGUGUUGAUCAUGAUGUUUUAAUAUUUUUUUAAAAGGAAAAAGAGAAUUUCAAAAAUUGCUACAUUUGUAAAGUUAAAAAUCGUUGACAAUAUUAUCAACAAAAGACGCAGGAAAUCUAAUCUCAUCAAUCACGUCCUUAAUGUCAGCAACAACAAAAAAUGAAUCACAUUCUGAAACCGUGUGACCUUGCUCUCCGUUUCAGUCCCCCACUAACCCAUCACACUGUACCACCUUCAACCCC
rnacentral:lncRNA from 1 species